GUAGGAAUGCUGAAGCCUGAAGGGCUGAAUAUACAUGAAACUCUUCUUAACAUACGACAUAUUUUGAAAAAAACGCGUUAUUGUCUUCAUAUGGUGGUUAGCGUGGAAAUAAAGCGCCAUCUGAUAAGAGGAGCGCGUAGGGCAUUAUUGUGUUUGUCCAGGUACCCGCAGAUUCGACAUCAUCGACAACGAUAUGGUGGGUCGUAAAAAAAUAUACUGAUUAUCAUCUUCGA